GAUGAACGCUGGCGGCGUGCUUAACACAUGCAAGUCGAACGAUGAAGCCCAGCUUGCUGGGUGGUUUAGUGGCGAACGGGUGAGUAACACGUGAGUAACCUGCCCUUAACUCUGGGAUAAGCCUGGGAAACUGGGUCUAAUACCGGAUAGGAGCGUCCACCGCAUGGUGGGUGUUGGAAAGAUUUAUCGGUUUUGGAUGGACUCGCGGCCUAUCCGCUUGUUGGUGAGGGAAUGGCUCACCAAGGCGACGACGGGUAGCCGGCCCGGGAGGGGGAACGGCCACCAUAGGACUAAGGCACGGCCCAGAAUCCAACCGGAGGCAACGGGGGAAAGUAUUACACAGAGGGCCCAAGGCUGAUGCAACGGCCCCCGGUUCGGGAAACCCGGCUUCGGGUUUUGAACCUAUUUCCGUUGGAAAGGAACCAAAUUGACGGUACCUGCAAAAAAAGCCCCGGCUAACUACGUG
rnacentral:rRNA from 1 species